rnacentral:misc_RNA from 1 species
AGACGUUCCGUGUUCCAGGUAACUAUGGUCCCAUGGACUAGUUGUUCAGUAGUCUUAGAGAGCUGUUACUCAAUGGUCUAGUUGUUUAGUCCCACUAGUGGUAGCCAAGAAUUAAUCGCAGUUAUUGGCAGCACACAGCAUAAGUCUCUAGCCUGCUGUAUAGCCUACCAUCGGGGCCCUGGCAAACAGAACUCAGAGAUGGGCCCACAGCUUACUGAAGCCAAUCUCAAUGUUUGAAAGAUGCUCUGUUCACAUACUCAUUUUCACACAUAGGCACACAGAGUUCGUAAAAAUGAAACUUUUUAGAAAGUAAGGGGCCUUCCUUUGACAGAGGUGCCAAAACUAAUGCAUAGAAAGAAAUAGCAGAUUUCAGUAUUUAUAAUGGCAUAGUUCAUU